AUUUCAUUUCAAUUAUAACCCAAUUUGACCCCAAUUGAACCUCGACCCAAUUUCAAUUAAAUUCGAUCCAAACCUAGUUUCAUUAACCUGCCCACUUGCUCGUUUUAAUCCAGGCGGUUGAUCUGAACAAUAAUUACCCUUGCCUUAAUUAAUUCCAAACGACCCCCUAAACCCUAUCAUUUUCUCACAAUCCGCGCCUUAGAACUCCUUCCCUAUCAAACCCUCUCUGCAACACCCCCAAACCAUGGCCGACGCCACCCUAAUCCACGUAAUCCAUGGCGUUCCGAGGUCAUCUGAGACCUAUACCAGCCUUCCAUGACUUCUACGUGUUUGGUUUUGUGGUCUCUUGACCAGACUUUGAAGGGAUUUGGUCCAUUGUUUGCUCGAUGACCCUUUUAUGGUCAUCCCUGAUCCUUCUUCCACCAGCUAUAGUGCUGAACAUUGAAUCCGGGAGGUCUGUAGGUUGAUUGUCCUUCAUCAAAGUUGGGUGGAGCAGCCAUUGAGAUCCCUUCUAGGUGUUAACCUUUUAGAAAGAACCUGCUCUGAUACCAAUUUUUAGUUUAUAUGAGUCCAUCAAACUAUAGAGUACCUGGUCCUAUAUGAGAUAAUACUGAGAAUUCUAUAAAGAUUGAAAGUAAAGAAGACAAGGGUUUUUUACAUGGAAAAAUCCGACACAAGGGGAUCAAAAAACCACGACCUACUUUUGUAGACUUUUAACUUCACUAACUUGCAAUCUCUCUAUUAGAAGCCACUUUGCAAAAAUCCUAUUGUAAAAACUUCAACUAACUUGUGAUGCACCCACCACAAGACACUCUAUAUUUAUCCUAGUUAUAAAGGCUUUAACUUCUGAUUAUUCCUAGUCACAACAUAAAAUCGGAUGUUUAGGAAUUUUUGGUUUGUUCAUAAGACAAAGCUUCUAAGAAAGCAAACUAGGAAACACAAUGAAGAACAAAUAACAAUCUUACAACUCAACUACGGAUGUACAUAUACUCAUUAAGAAACUGAUCCUUAGUGGAGUUGUCUUGUUCUUGAUACAACAAUGACUUCAAUGCCGGAUGAACACUGUUAUGCUUGAGAGAAUAUCACUGAAUGAACAAAGGUGUUGUAUCUUGCACCAGGUUGUUAUAUCACAUAAUAUAUCACAAUGGAUAUUGAUGUUAAUUCUUGAUGUACGCUUCUUUUCAAUGAGAAGUGACUGAUGCAUUGUUUGCACAAUCACUUUUGUGUAGUUGCAUUCUAGUUGGAUGGUGGACUUGUACUUCUAUCAGUGAACAGCAACGGAUCAUGUCCCAGUUGUGUUCCUCUUCUGUAAUAGUUGCAAAAUAGUCAUUUUCGACUAUUAUGUUCUGGCUGUUCAGUUGACUUGUACUUCUGUUAGGGAACCUUAAGAGACCAGUCCUUGUUGUGUUUCUCUUUAUGAUGAUUGCGGACAACCAUUGGCCUGUACAUUUAUCGGAGAAACCUAAGGGAAUUUCAUUCAUUUUCUGAUUUUCAUACUUGAACCAGGACAGUCCAAAUGUGGAUUAGGUUCUCUAUCUGGUUCUUCACAACAAGUUUGUU
rnacentral:lncRNA from 1 species